rnacentral:rRNA from 1 species
GAUGAACGCUGGCGGCGUGCCUAAUACAUGCAAGUCGAGCGAACAGACGAGGAGCUUGCUCCUCUGACGUUAGCGGCGGACGGGUGAGUAACACGUGGAUAACCUACCUAUAAGACUGGGAUAACUUCGGGAAACCGGAGCUAAUACCGGAUAAUAUAUUGAACCGCAUGGUUCAAUAGUGAAAGACGGUUUUGCUGUCACUUAUAGAUGGAUCCGCGCCGCAUUAGCUAGUUGGUAAGGUAACGGCUUACCAAGGCGACGAUGCGUAGCCGACCUGAGAGGGUGAUCGGCCACACUGGAACUGAGACACGGUCCAGACUCCUACGGGAGGCAGCAGUAGGGAAUCUUCCGCAAUGGGCGAAAGCCUGACGGAGCAACGCCGCGUGAGUGAUGAAGGUCUUCGGAUCGUAAAACUCUGUUAUUAGGGAAGAACAAAUGUGUAAGUAACUAUGCACGUCUUGACGGUACCUAAUCAGAAAGCCACGGCUAACUACGG